rnacentral:rRNA from 1 species
AAACUAACAAGGAUUCCCCUAGUAACGGCGAGUGAAGCGGGAAGAGCUCAAAUUUAAAAUCUGGCAGUCUACGAUUGUCCGAAUUGUAAUCUCGAGAAGUGUUUUCCGCGUUGGCCUGUGCACAAGUCCCUUGGAACAGGGCGUCAUAGAGGGUGAGAAUCCCGUCCUUGGCACAGAUACCCAAUGCUUUGUGAUACACUCUCAAUGAGUCGAGUUGUUUGGGAAUGCAGCUCAAAAUGGGAGGUAAAUUCCUUCUAAAGCUAAAUACUGGCGAGAGACCGAUAGCGAACAAGUACCGUGAGGGAAAGAUGAAAAGCACUUUGGAAAGAGAGUCAAACAGUACGUGAAAUUGUUGAAAGGGAAACGAUUGAAGUCAGUCGUGCCUGCCUAGAUUCAGCCUUCUGGUGUAUUUCUAGGUCGGCAGGUCAGCAUCAGUUUGGGAGGGUUAACAAGGGGAUUAGGAAUGUGGCAACCUCGGUUGUGUUAUAGCCUAGUUUCGUAUUGAUCUUGCUGGACUGAGGAACGCAGUGCGCCCGCAAGGGUAGGUCUUCGGACACUUUCGCACUUAGGAUGCUGGCAUAAUGGCUUUAAACGAC